GCCAGGUGUGGUAGCGCAUGCCUGUAAUCCUAGCACUUUGGGAGGCUGAGGCGGGCGGAUCACCUGAGGUCAGGAGUUCAAGAUCAGCCUGGCCAACAUGGUGAAACCCUGUCUCUA
rnacentral:SRP_RNA from 1 species